rnacentral:rRNA from 1 species
GACGAACGCUGGCGGCGUGCCUAAUACAUGCAAGUAGAACGCUGAAGGAGGAGCUUGCUUCUCUGGAUGAGUUGCGAACGGGUGAGUAACGCGUAGGUAACCUGCCUGGUAGCGGGGGAUAACUAUUGGAAACGAUAGCUAAUACCGCAUAAUAGUAGAUGUUGCAUGACAUUUGCUUAAAAGGUGCAAUUGCAUCACUACCAGAUGGACCUGCGUUGUAUUAGCUAGUUGGUGGGGUAAAGGCUCACCAAGGCGACGAUACAUAGCCGACCUGCGAGGGGGAUCGGCCACACUGGGACUGAGACACGGCCCAGACUCCUACGGGAGGCAGCAGUAGGGAAUCUGCGGCAAUGGACGGAAGUCUGACCGAGCAACGCCGCGUGAGUGAAGAAGGUUUUCGGAUCGUAAAGCUCUGUUGUAAGAUAAGAACGAGUGUGAGAGUGGAAAGUUCACACUGUGACGGUAUCUUACCAGAAAGGGACGGCUAACUACGUG